rnacentral:rRNA from 1 species
AUGUAAGGAUUCAAAGGUCGAACAGACCUAAACUUUGAACUUCUACACCCAAAAAUAACCCUUAAUCCAACAUCGAGGUCGCAAUCUUUUUUGUCGAUAAGAACUCUCAAAAAAAAUUACGCUGUUAUCCCUAAGGUAACUUAGUCUUAUAAUCAGUAAAACUGGAUCAAUUAUUCAAUAAUUUUUGUUUAAAAAUAAAAAGAGUUUUAUAAAUCUUCCUGUCACCCCAACAAAAUAUUUAAUUUAAUAAAAUUUAAAAAUUACUAUAAAUAAAUUAUUAUAUAAAUAUAAAGUUCUAUAGGGUCUUCUCGUCCUUUAAUUAUAUUUAAGCCUUUUAACUCAAAAGUUAAAUUAUAAUUCCAUUUAAAUUGAGACAGUUAACACCUCGUUCAAUCAUUCAUUCUAGCCCUCAAUUAAAAGACUAAUUAUUAUGCUACCUUUGCACGGUCAAAAUACCGCGGCCCUUUAAAAUAUCAGUGGGCAGAUUAGACUUUAAAUUAUUUUCUAAAAG